AGUUGCUGCCUGAAGCUGGGAGAGGAUUGUGUUCCUGGCUGACUGAAAGAGCAGCAGGACCAUGGACCGCUCAGUGUGGACAGGGACCAGGGGAGCUAAGAAGGUGCUCCUGGCUAGCUGCUGGGAUUGAGUAAGGACUGAGCCCAGGGAAGGCUGCAGAUAGUGUGUGAGACUUGGAUGGAGGGCUAAGUCACUGAAGACCCACCAAAGAAACCAUCAACCACCGGGGUGCUCACGAGAGGUGGGUGCCACCCUGUUCCACAAACAGAGAGACUGCUGGCACACAAGGAGGCACUCGUGAGAGGGGAAAAUGUCCAGUAUCUGACACUGAUUUAAGAAGAUAAUGUUCAGAUGAGAAUACAUGGCCCGAUACUAUUCCCACUUAUUUAACUGGGAACAGGAAUGAGCCCCCAGAGAGCAGCAUAUCUUGCAAAUAUGUAAAGAAAGUAAAAAAACUUUGAUAAAAAGGAAAAAAUAACUUUAAAUACUAUCUUCAGCUACAAAACACUCAUAUGCAGAGUCCCACAAGGCUCAGUCAUCUCCCCCAUGUUAUUCAACAUCUUUAUGAAAUUGUUGGGAGAGCUGAUGAGACAAAAUGGACUGAAGUGCCAACAGUAUAUAGAUUAUAUCCAGCUUUACAUCUCCUUUAUACAAAAAUAAAGUGCACCAUCUCCCAGAUUUCUUAUUGCAAGAUUCGGGUGAUCCUGUUAGGAAGACAGAAGAUCCUUGAAGAACCUGUUUCCCAUAUAACAUACCAAACUACAGAAGGCAUCUCUUCUCAGAAUAUGAAUGCAGUCUUCAGCAUCUUUAAGGGGUCCUUUUAAACUCUUCAGUGCCACUGGAUGCUCAAACCACCAUGACACCAAAAAUCAUCCACUUCCACCUGCUAUUCGCUAGAAGACAGUACUCCAAUCCCAUGAAACGCUGAACUGGACACUGCGAUUCAUGCAUUCAUGACCUCCAGAGUAACUACAAAUUCAGCAGCCAAUGUGCAUAGCAACACAGGUCAUCCUGAAGCUCCUCUCUGCACUAGAAUCUUCCACUAAAUACAAAAUCCAACUCAAAUUCUCUGCCCUGAUACUAAAGUCUCUCCAUGGGAUUGGAUCCAGCAACCUGAGAGAUCCUCUCUUCCUCUACGAUCACCAUCAUCUCCCACUACAGCUAUGUUCAAUUCACUGUCAACUAAUAGGAGGAGACUUAUGAGCACAGAAUACUGAAUUUUCACAGGUGCUAGACAGAGUAUGGAAUACAUUCCUUCAAAAAAAUAUAACCCUGGGUAUCACUUCCAGAACGACUCGCAAAACUCAUUUCUUGGAUGGAGCCUUUAUUCAAUAAUGUCUUCACACAUGUGGACAACACACCCAUUUAGUCACAAACAAAUAUCAUAGAAACUAGUCAAGUUAUUUCUCCUAUAGGUUGGGAAGGUAGAAAGAUAUUAUUAUUGCAGCUCCUACUUUUAAAUAUUUGGGAAGCGCUCAGUGGUGGGGACACACAAAACAAAUAACAUAGCUUUUGCUUUUUCCUAUAACAAUUUUCAGGGAGAAUAGACUUUUCAGUAUUUCUCUCUGUUUCUUAGUUGCUUUCUACAGCACUCGGCAAGCAGAUGACCAGGGAUUUGUUUGUACUCCUUGUACAUUGGCACAUACCUUUUCUUUCCAGUCACGUACCAUCUGAGGAAGUAAUGGUAAAAGUAAUGGUAAAAGUCACAUCUUAUCCUUAGCUCAUGCUAAAACUUUUUUUUAAAAAAAGGGGGAGUUGGUCUCUUGAAAACUGGGCACAUAAAGCAAGUGUUGUGGGUACCAGACUUUUGUGACUGAGUUUCUCUCCUCCCAUCUCCUCCUCAGAUGCUACCUGUAUUAUAGAAGCAUUUUUAGAAGGGAUUUCACUUCAUUAUAUAACUUGCACUUUACUGCAAAGAAAGAUUUUGCUGGGAGAAGAGGUUUGGAAAGUGAGAAUGUGGCACUGGCAGUGUUCUUUACUAGCAAACUAAAGAAAAAUGGCCCAAUUUAUCCUUGAUAUCUAAGUAGGGACCAUAUAAUAUGACCACUUCAGAUAUAACAGUUCUUCUGGAGUUAUUUGGGGCCAGUUGCCUUUUCAAUUGAGGAUUUAAUUUCACUACAUCACCAGCCACCAAAAUAGCUGUGUGAUUUCAAAUCUCCAUAUGUUCCAUUGUGUGUGUGUGUGUGUGUUUACAAACAUACGUGUACACACACACACACACACUUCUAUAUCUUGACUAGCCUGUAUCUUGAAAGCUGGGAGGCAAAGCAGUUAACACUUUUCCCCUCAGGACACCCUACUCAAAUCCUAUUAGGCUACAAGUGAAAGUGAGUAAUGACCUCAUCCUACUCCCCCAGUUGUGAACACUACAAAACCACCUCAGUCUGGCAAGACUGACAGUCCCUCUUUAAGAGAGGUCCAAAACUAGAAUAGAUAAAGGGAAAUAGAAUUAAGUGAUUUGGCAGCAGCAAGAAAAAAUUUGUAGUUGCUUGACAGUCCUCUUAGACCCUCCUUUACUUAAAUAAACUCAAAAAACUACCCCCCCCCAAAAAAAAUCUCUCUUGACCACUGAAAUAAAAGCCAGUAUGCUUGAGCUAAAUUAAGUUUCAAUUUCCCACAUAAAAAGAGAAUGUUAACCAUAAGAGAAGAAAUUUAAUGUCCACAGUGACUGCUAUAAGUUCCACUCUGAGUAUGGUUUGUAACAUCAAUCAGACCAAAGUUAGGAAGACAUGGUACUUCAAUAACACCAAAUAAUUCAUCUGACACUUUGUGAUAAAUUCAUCCCAUUGACUUCAGAAGAGUUGCAUCUGAAAUGAAUUUUGCCAGGUAAAUCUCAAACACUGUCCAGCAAAAGCACACCUCAUGAAAAUCCAUACAUUAUCAGCAGUAACUAAAAACCCCUUCCCCUCAAAUAAAAAAAAGCAAUGUUAUUCAGCUACUUCUCCUCAAUCUCUAAAAAUGUUGGUCAACGCAUAUUUUGUAGAGUAACAAAUAUUUUAAACAUUUUUCCACCACAGUCAGC